AUUGAACGCUGGCGGCAGGCCUAACACAUGCAAGUCGAGCGAGCGGCGGACGGGUGAGUACUGGCUGGGAAACUGCCUGAUGGAGGGGGAUAACUGAUGGAAACGGUAGCUAAUACCGCAUACCAUCAGAUGUGCCCCGAGGGGAUUAGCUAGUAGGUGGAGUAAUGGCUCACCUAGGCGACGAUCCCUAGCUGGUCUGAGAGGAUGAUCAGCCACACUGGAACUGAGACACGGUCCAGCCUCCUACGGGAGGCAGCAGUGGGGAAUAUUGCACAAUGGGCGCAAGCCUGAUGCAGCCAUGCCGCGUGUGUGAAGAAGGCCUUCGGGUUGUAAAGCACUUUCAGCUGGGAGGCGUUACCCGCAGAAGAAGCACCGGCUAACUCCGUGCCAGCAGCCGCGGUAAUUC
rnacentral:rRNA from 1 species